rnacentral:rRNA from 1 species
CGACCUGAGCUCAGGCAAGACUACCCGCUGAACUUAAGCAUAUCAAUAAGCGGAGGAAAAGAAACUAACUAGGAUGCCCUUAGUAACGGCGAGCGAACCGGGCAAAGCCCAACUUGAAAAUCUCCAGCCUCCGGCUGGCGAAUUGUAGUCUAUAGAAGUGCUCUCUGCCUCAGUCCGGCCCCAAGUCCCCUGGAAAGGGGCGUCAGAGAGGGUGAGAACCCCGUUGGGACUGGAUCCUGAGGCUCCACGAGACGCUUUCGAAGAGUCGGGUUGUUUGGGAAUGCAGCCCAAAGCAGGUGGUAAAUCCCAUCUAAGGCUAAAUACAGACGGGAGACCGAUAGCGAACAAGUACCGUGAGGGAAAGAUGAAAAGAACUUUGAAAAGAGAGUUAAAAAGUGCUUGAAAUUGUUGAGAGGGAAGUGAUUAGAUCCUACGGGUGCGCCCAGGCACACGUCUGCCUAACGGUUGGCUGAAUGCGCUGGGUGCUGGUCAGCAUGGGUUGACCGGGCGGGACAAACCCCGGGGGUUGUUACCUCGGCUAUGUCGCCUGGUCGAUCGAGGAAAGAAUGGCGCUCUCUGAGUCCUUCGGGAACUGCGUCAUCAAG